AGAGUUUGAUCCUGGCUCAGGAUGAACGCUGGCGGCGUGCUUAACACAUGCAAGUCGAGCGAGAAAAGUUCUUCGGAGCUUUUCUAGCGGCGGACGGGUGAGUAACACGUGGGCAACCUGCCUCAUAGAGGGGAAUAGCCUUCCGAAAGGAAGAUUAAUACCGCAUAACAUUGUUGAAAGGCAUCUUUUAACAAUCAAAGGAGCAAUCCGCUUUGAGAUGGGCCCGCGGCGCAUUAGCUAGUUGGUGAGGUAACGGCUCACCAAGGCGACGAUGCGUAGCCGACCUGAGAGGGUGAUCGGCCACAUUGGAACUGAGACACGGUCCAGACUCCUACGGGAGGCAGCAGUGGGGAAUAUUGCACAAUGGGGGAAACCCUGAUGCAGCAACGCCGCGUGAGUGAUGAAGGUCUUCGGAUUGUAAAGCUCUGUCUUUAGGGACGAUAAUGACGGUACCUGACUAAGAAGCACCGGCUAAAUACGUGCCAGCAGCCGCGGUAAUACGUAUGGUGCAAGCGUUAUCCGGAUUUACUGGGUGUAAAGGGAGCGUAGGUGGCAAGGCAAGCCAGAAGUGAAAACCCGGGGCUCAACCGCGGGAUUGCUUUUGGAACUGUCAUGCUAGAGUGCAGGAGGGGUGAGCGGAAUUCCUAGUGUAGCGGUGAAAUGCGUAGAUAUUAGGAGGAACACCGGAGGCGAAGGCGGCUCACUGGACUGUAACUGACACUGAGGCUCGAAAGCGUGGGGAGCAAACAGGAUUAGAUACCCUGGUAGUCCACGCGGUAAACGAUGAAUACUAGAUGUCGGGUAGCAAAGCUAUUCGGUGUCGUCGCAAACGCAAUAAGUAUUCCACCUGGGGAGUACGUUCGCAAGAAUGAAACUCAAAGGAAUUGACGGGGACCCGCACAAGCGGUGGAGCAUGUGGUUUAAUUCGACGCAACGCGAAGAACCUUACCAAGUCUUGACAUCCUCUGACGAACGUAGAAAUACGUUUUCUCUUCGGAGCAGAGAGACAGGUGGUGCAUGGUUGUCGUCAGCUCGUGUCGUGAGAUGUUGGGUUAAGUCCCGCAACGAGCGCAACCCUUAUGGUCAGUUACUACGCAAGAGGACUCUGGCCAGACUGCCGUUGACAAAACGGAGGAAGGUGGGGAUGACGUCAAAUCAUCAUGCCCUUUAUGACUUGGGCUACACACGUACUACAAUGGCGUUAAACAAAGAGAAGCAAGACCGCGAGGUGGAGCAAAACUCAGAAACAACGUCCCAGUUCGGACUGCAGGCUGCAACUCGCCUGCACGAAGUCGGAAUUGCUAGUAAUCGCAGAUCAGCAUGCUGCGGUGAAUACGUUCCCGGG
rnacentral:rRNA from 1 species